rnacentral:rRNA from 1 species
UACGAAGGGGGCUAGCGUUGUUCGGAAUUACUGGGCGUAAAGCGCACGUAGGCGGACUACUAAGUCAGGGGUGAAAUCCCGGGGCUCAACCCCGGAACUGCCUUUGAUACUGGUAGUCUCGAGUCCGGAAGAGGUGAGUGGAAUUCCGAGUGUAGAGGUGAAAUUCGUAGAUAUUCGGAAGAACACCAGUGGCGAAGGCGACUUACUGGACGACUGUUGACGCUGAGGUGCGAAAGCGUGGGGAGCAAACAGG